rnacentral:rRNA from 1 species
AUUGAACGCUGGCGGCAUGCCUUACACAUGCAAGUCGAACGGCAGCACGGGAGCAAUCCUGGUGACGAGUGGCGAACGGGUGAGUAAUGCAUCGGAACAUGCCCAGUCAGUGGGGGAUAACUACGCGAAAGCGUAGCUAAUACCGCAUACGCCCUGAGGGGGAAAGUGGGGGAUCUUAGGACCUCACGUGAUUGGAGUGGCCGAUGUCAGAUUAGCUAGUUGGUGAGGUAAAGGCUCACCAAGGCGACGAUCUGUAGCGGGUCUGAGAGGAUGAUCCGCCACACUGGGACUGAGACACGGCCCAGACUCCUACGGGAGGCAGCAGUGGGGAAUUUUGGACAAUGGGCGCAAGCCUGAUCCAGCCAUGCCGCGUGAGUGAAGAAGGCCUUCGGGUUGUAAAGCUCUUUCGCAAGGGAAGAAAACGGCAAGGUUAAUACCUUUGUCGGCUGACGGUACCUUGACAAGAAGCACCGGCUAACUACGUG